ensembl:lncRNA
GACUCACAGCGCAUGCGUGUUCCCUGCAGCUCCGACUUAGCGUAGCUGAGGGGAGUUUGUCCGCUCAGGUACGGCAGGGCUUCGUCUGGGACUCCCAGGUGAGCGCUCAAUCGCCUUGGAAGUCGCUGGGGUGUCGGCUUCAGGACAACACGGGGCGGCGUCCACACUGAUGGGAGCUGGGAUUCCUGACGACUCAGGCGACGUCGAGAAGAAAAGGUGGAUCCAUGGCUUGGCUUCUGCAGACUUCUUCACCAGCGUUGACCUGGAUGGCACAGAAGAAGGUUGAUCCCUGGGUCCAGAGUCCAGCCCCACCACUGCCCUGUCUUCUUCAUGGCCAAGUUCUCACCCGUCCCAGCAGGCCUCUUGGGGGCCACUGGGAUGGGGUGUCCAUGGCAGGAGCAGGGGUCCACGACGGGAUGGGGGUGUCCACACCAGGACUGGAGGGUCUUUGGGGGGCUGGAGGCCACGGGGCAGGCAGGAAGGCUCCCAGCAUUCAGGCGGGUCCACACAUCAUGGUCGUAGGCCCGCCCACAGUGCACCAGGCUGUCGAUGUGGUAGAAGGUGCAGUGGUCCGGGGACCACCAGUCCAGCCUGCGCAGGUGCCUGACCACCAACUGGUCAGUGUAGAGUAUGCACAGGGAGCCCUGGCCAUGCUCCCGCACUUCGGGAGGACACUCAGCAUGGUCCCUGGGAUCACCAGGAGGUCAACCAGCAGGGUCCCCCCAGGCAACCUCACUAAGUUACAGUAAGAAACAAAAGACACCUCCAUGCAGGAAGACGGAAAGUCACCAGCCUGAGUGCUGUCCUGAGGAAGGCAGGCUGGCAUCUGGGAACUGGGUGCUGUAUGGAGUGAAUGAGUGGCUCCCAGAUGCUAUGUCCAUGUCAUGACUUCAGAAUUUGAAAAUGGAACCUUCUUUGGAAGUAGGUCUUUUGCAGGUGUAAUUGGUUACAAAUCUGGAGAGGAGGUCAUCCUGGAUUGGGGUGGCCCUAAAUCAUUGAGAGCGUCCUUCUAAGAGACACAAACACAGAGGAGAUACC